rnacentral:rRNA from 1 species
CCGCGGGAAUUCGAUUUUCCGGUUGAUCCUGCCGGAGGUCACUGCUAUCGGGGUUCGAUUAAGCCAUGCGAGUUGAGAGGGUUAAGACCCUCGGCGGACUGCUCAGUAACACGUGGAUAACCUGCCCUAAGGUGGAGGAUAACCCGGGAAACUGGGGAUAAUACUCCAUAGGUUAAAGGUACUGGAAUGUUCUUUAACCGAAAGUUCCGGCGCCUUAGGAUGGAUCUGCGGCCGAUUAGGUUGUUGUUGGGGUAGUGGCCCAACAAGCCUGUAAUCGGUACGGAUUGUGGGAGCAAGAGCCCGGAGAUGGAAUCUGAGACACGAUUCCAGGCCCUACGGGGCGCAGCAGGCGCGAAAACUUUACAAUGCAGGAAACUGUGAUAAGGGAACCCCGAGUGCCCGUAUAUGCGGGCUGUCCGGAUGUUUAAAACGCAUCCGAAGAAAGGGCCGGGCAAGACCGGUGCCAGCCGCCGCGGUAAUACCGGCGGCUCGAGUGGUGGCCACUUUUAUUGGGCUUAAAGCGUUCGUAGCUUGAAUAAUAAGUCUCUUGGGAAAUCUGCAGGCUUAACCUGCAGGCGUUUAAGAGAAACUGUUGUUCUAGGAACCGGAAGAGGUGAGAGUACUCCGGGGGUAGGA